GCAUUCGACCAUACCAUGCAAAAUGUACCCGUUCCUGUCCACUUACGGAAGUCAAGCUGCAUUGGGCCGGUGGUAGUAGUCAGGUGGGGGACCACUGGCGAACACCCGGUGUUGAAUGCA
rnacentral:rRNA from 1 species